rnacentral:rRNA from 1 species
GAUUAACGCUGGCGGCGUGCAUAACACAUGCAAGUGAAGUGAAGUGGCGGACGGGUGAGUAACGCGUAGGUAACUACCUAUUAGAGGGGGAUAACUAUUGGAAACGAUAGCUAAUACCGCAUACUAGUAGAUGGACCUGCGUUGUAUUAGCUAGUAGGUAGGGUAAUGGCCUACCUAGGCAACGAUACAUAGCCGACCUGGGAGGGUGAUCGGCCACACUGGGACUGAGACACGGCCCAGACUCCUACGGGAGGCAGCAGUAGGGAAUCUUCGGCAAUGGGGGGAACCCUGACCGAGCAACGCCGCGGGAGUGAAGAAGGUUUUCGGAUCGUAAAGCUCUGUUGUUAAGGAAGCGGUACUUAACCAGAAAGGGACGGCUAACUACGUGCCAGCAGCCGCGGUAAUAC